rnacentral:rRNA from 1 species
UACGUAGGGACCAAGCGUUGUUCGGAUUUACUGGGCGUAAAGGGCGCGUAGGCGGCAAUUCAAGUCAUCUGUGAAAUCUCCGGGCUUAACUCGGAACGGUCAGAUGAUACUGCUUUUGCUAGAGUGCGGAAGGGGCAAUCGGAAUUCUUGGUGUAGCGGUGAAAUGCGUAGAUAUCAAGAGGAACACCUGAGGUGAAGACGGUUGCUGGCCGACACUGACGCUGACAGCGCGAAAGCCAGGGAGCAAAGCGGG